GCAGUCGAACGAAGAGCGAUGGAAGCUUGCUUCUAUCAAUCUUAGUGGCGAACGGGUGAGUAACGCGUAAUCAACCUGCCCUUCAGAGGGGGACAACAGUUGGAAACGACUGCUAAUACCGCAUACGAUCUAAUCUCGGCAUCGAGGAUGGAUGAAAGGUGGCCUCUACAUGUAAGCUAUCACUGAAGGAGGGGAUUGCGUCUGAUUAGCUAGUUGGAGGGGUAACGGCCCACCAAGGCGAUGAUCAGUAGCCGGUCUGAGAGGAUGAACGGCCACAUUGGGACUGAGACACGGCCCAGACUCCUACGGGAGGCAGCAGUGGGGAAUCUUCCGCAAUGGACGAAAGUCUGACGGAGCAACGCCGCGUGAGCGAUGACGGCCUUCGGGUUGUAAAGCUCUGUUAAUCGGGACGAAAGGCCUUCUUGCGAAUAGUGAGAAGGAUUGACGGUACCGGAAUAGAAAGCCACGGCUAACUACGUGCCAGCAGCCGCGGUAAUACGUAGGUGGCAAGCGUUGUCCGGAAUUAUUGGGCGUAAAGCGCGCGCAGGCGGAUAGGUCAGUCUGUCUUAAAAGUUCGGGGCUUAACCCCGUGAUGGGAUGGAAACUGCCAAUCUAGAGUAUCGGAGAGGAAAGUGGAAUUCCUAGUGUAGCGGUGAAAUGCGUAGAUAUUAGGAAGAACACCAGUGGCGAAGGCGACUUUCUGGACGAAAACUGACGCUGAGGCGCGAAAGCCAGGGGAGCGAACGGGAUUAGAUACCCCGGGUAGUCCUGGCCGUAAACGAUGGGUACUAGGUGUAGGAGGUAUCGACCCCUUCUGUGCCGGAGUUAACGCAAUAAGUACCCCGCCUGGGGAGUACGACCGCAAGGUUGAAACUCAAAGGAAUUGACGGGGGCCCGCACAAGCGGUGGAGUAUGUGGUUUAAUU
rnacentral:rRNA from 1 species